rfam:Danio rerio chromosome 4, GRCz11 reference primary assembly.
ACCUCAUUGGUGCAGUAGGCAGCGCGUCAGUCUCAUAAUCUGAAGGUCGUGAACUCGAGCCUUACAUGGGGCA